rnacentral:rRNA from 1 species
AAUGAACGUUGGCGGCGUGGAUUAGGCAUGCAAGUCGAGCGCUCAUCAGCAAUGGUGGGAGCGGCGAACGGCGUAGUAAUGCAUCGGAACGUACCCUCUGGUCGGGGAUAGCUACGGGAAACUGUAGGUAAUACCCGAUGAACUCUGCGGAGCAAAGGUGAGAUUCCGCCGGAGGAGCGGCUGAUGUGAUACUAGCUAGUUGGUGGGGUAAAGGCCUACCAAGGCGAUGAUGUCUAGGGGGUGUGAGAGCAUGGCCCCCACGACCGGAACUGAGAUACUGUCCAGACACCUACGGGUGGCUGCAGUCGAGAAUCUUCCGCAAUGGACGAAAGUCUGACGGAGCGACGCCGCGUGCGGGAUGAAGGCCCUUGGGUUGUAAACCGCUGUCAGAGGGGAUGAAAUCGUCGGAGGUACUCCUCCGAUGUUGACAGAGCCUCAAAGGAAGCACGGGCUAAGUACGUGCCAGCCGCCGCGGUAACAC